UCCCGGGGAAGAAUAUGUCCUUUUAAAAGAGAAGAUGCUUCUGUGAUAAAUUGCAAGGAGCACAAUUCUUUCGCUAUUGGCCCUGCAAUAUUCUUCCUCCUAUUAUGGAAGAAAGUUUCCGAUUCGUUCUCCUCAAUAUUCUUUACCUUGGUGCAAAGAUAUUUAAGUCCGUGUGGGAUAGCUGGUUUAAUCCAUAUUCUUUCUCCUCCUGCAUUUCCAUUUAUUAGCUAUUCCAUCAAAUCCAACCCACUCUGCUUCAGAAAGUUCCAUACAUUUUACAAUACCAGUCUUCAUUCAUGGCAUCCUCCUCCUCAUCGAUUACACCUCCUAGAUCGUACGAUGCAUUCAUCAGCCACCGAGGCCCUGAUGUCAAGGACGGCCUUGCUGAACAACUGUAUCACCUUCUUUAGGAAAGAGGGUGUCAGGCAUUUCUAGACCGUGAAGAGAUUAAAGCCGUGGGAGCUGCGCCACAUCGAGAAGGAGAAUUCACGCUAUGGUGCGGCAUUUUCUAAUCACCAAAGUAGAGGCAGGUAUCUUGAUAAGCUGGAAAAAUGGAAAAAGGCCCUUAAAUCUGCUGCAGACAUAUCUGGUUAUGAGCUUAGCCAACAUCAAGACGAUUUGUGUGAAACUAUUGUGUCUCGUGUGCUACAAGUGAUACAAGAAAGGAAAAAUAGGAUACAGUUAGAUGUUGCUAAAUAUCUGGUUGGACUUGCUGAUCUCGUCCAAGAUUUUGAAAGAAGUUAUUCGGAGACAAAGAGACAAAGCAAGGUGAUGAUUGCAGGGAUCUAUGGACUUGCGGGGUCUGGCAAGACCACCCUGGCAAAAGAAUUGUUUAACAGGAAGCGUUCAGGCUACCCUGCAUCAUCUUUUCUCUCUGAUGUGAGGGAAUCACAUGCCAGAGGUGACUUGCACUGUUUGCAAACUCGGCUCUUGAAAGAUCUUUUCCCUAAAGAUCCAGAGAUUAAAGGUCUAGAGAUUCUACAAGCAAGCGCAUGACUAGCCUUGAAAUCAUAGAUUUUCGUAGAUUAGCUAAUAUUUCAAAGUUGCUGAUUAGUGGAGAGCUUUGUCCCAGACUUCGGUCAUUGAAAGUUGAAGAGAUGCAGAAUCUAGAUGAAAUGGACUUAAAGCAGCUUGAGAGUCUGAAUACUCUUGACCUACAGGGAUGCCCCAAAUUGGAAACAAUAUCAGGGUUAUCUUUUCUUAUAGGACUUCAAGUGUUUAAAGCAGACAAAUGUGAAGGGUUGAAAUCUUUGCCGACCAUUGCACAUAAUCGUCUGCUGGAGCGAAUCACCAUUUUAGGAUGCCUUCAGCUGCAAAGUGCACAAGGUUUUGAAGAGUUGCAAGGAUUAAAAAGUCUGGUGAUUGACAACGGAUAUGCAUGGGUACGGAAUUGCCUUUACGGACUCAAGAGGCUGCCGUCAGAAUUAUAGUAUUUUAACAGGGACAAUAGUGACUACAUCAUCCUCUAUAUUGGAUGAAAUUUUGCUUCUUGAAAGGAUGGAGACCCAAUCAAUUUCUGAGAUUGAGGAAGACAUGAGAAGCUCAUCAAGGGCCAUCGCUGUAUAUGCUUUGCUUGGAAGACCUGAUAGGUCUCCUGCUCGAAUGAGUGUUAAAUGUAUAAAUCCUCCCGCAUGAGAGUUCAAUUUAUAUGCUUUGCAAGUGUAGGCGAGCAGAUGAGUGCAAUAAAUAGAGAGUGGGAAAUUAAGUAGCUUCGGCAUAAACGAGGGGUUUAAGGCCACAAUGAAUGAAGAGGAAGAAAGCGAAGCUUUAUCGGUAGUUCAAAGAAUUGUGGACCGAUUGUAUGGGGAGAGCAAAAGGAUGGAGACGUGUAAUUUAUUUUGAUUAUUUAGGGGAAGAGCAUCAGUAGUUGAGCAUGUAUCAAUUGUUGUGAGGAUUGUUGAUAUUUUUUGUUUAAAAAAUUGAACAAAUAAAAUUUAUUGUUUGAAACAUAAAAUAUCAAUUUUUGUUAGGAAAUGUACCAAUAGUUGUUAAGAAAUGUACCAAUAUUGUAAAAAGUAACCAAUCAAGUGAUGCCAUAUCAGCUGCACAACUAUUGGUGCCUCUUUUGCAUGCUUAUUGGUCUCACUUUUUUUUUGGGCUGUUUUGGACACCUUGACAAAAAGCAUGCUGAUGAGGCACCAUACUUGAUGAUGUGGUGUUGAAAACUUAGUUAUAAGUAGGGGACUUGCCAAGUAAGCUACUGUAAAAAAAUUGAGAGUGAUUUGAAAUUUCCACGUAAGAUUUUGAGAAGCGUGAAGUUGGAAUGCUCAACUACUAAUACUCUUCCCCUAUUUUUGAAAGCUUUUAUUCUUUGUA